CCUCUGAACAUUGAUUUGGAGGAUUGUUCCAGGUAGGAUCAACUCCACAGCUGCAGGGGGCAGUAUAAGGAAAAUGUGAAUCCUAAUCUAUCAGGUAGGUAGAUGGGAAGAGGUAUUUAACUAGGUGAUAGUGUGCAGGUGGGGGUUUUGUCUGGCAGUCAUGGUGAGCUGAACAACAAACAUUUCAAUGCUUGGAUGACUUCAGCGACCCCAUUGGUAACGCCCUGAUUUUAAAUUAAAGUGAGGAGGCAGACUCUUGAAAACUCAGAGCACACGUGGAAUGGCUUGAGUAUGUUCCUGUCUGCUCUCCUCGAGAAAAGAGAUAAAAGUGUUAGAGCAAAAGGCAUAUGCAGGCUGUGCUGUGCAGAGAGACGGGAAGCCACAGCGCAGCAUGUUCAGAACAGGAAGUAGGGCCCCUCGUCUGCAGACAGAACUCAGAUGUACAUCAUGCAGGUGUGAGGACAUUUCCAGAAGCAAAGCAGAAGCAAGCAAGAGGCCACGGUGUCUGACACCCACACACUCAACAAGUGUGAAAUGCUACAGACUUGAACUGGUUGGAACCAGCCGGACGGAGUCACAAAAAGGUCACUGGGUCUUCUCUAAAAACAGGAAGCCCACUGUUGGAGGCAUAUGCGGGCGACGCAACAGUUUACCCUAUAAGGAAUUGGACAGCCACCAGCAAAGUGGUUACGUCUGCCCACAGGAGGAGGAACUCAGAGCCGCUGUAAAGACUUCUCCGUAGGAAGUCCCCGGCGCUUUUUCUCUUAUCUGCGGGGGCCCUGUUCUCAGCUGUACUUCUGUGUUUUUCUCUUGCUACUGUCUUAGAACUAUUGUAUCAGGGAAUAAACUUCUAAUCUUUACCGGUUCGACUUAUGGUCAUUUUCUCCUCGACUACUUGAACACGCAAAGGAAAAAGCUGCAAAACGGAAAGAUCUUUUUCCUUCAUGAUUUAAAAAAAAAAGCAAAACAACACAACAUGUGACGCUUUCAGUGAGAAGUGCUUGACACAGCAAAAUACAUAUCAGAUGAAGAAAAAAAUACACGCAAAAAGAACAUGUAUAGUGCCAGACUCCAACCUAGAACCUCUGGAUGUAUAUGCCACUGACUAUUCCACUGAGCUAUCUCCAUUCACAUAAAAACAGCUUGACAUCAGAGAUUCAUUCCAGUGUUUUUUUUCUUUUUGAUACACAACGUUCAUGAUGUGGUGUUUUAUUAGGAAAAACCGAGUUGAAAUGAUCCUGAGCCACAGAAAGUUUUUAAUAGGAAUGAACUGACGCUGAUUCUAAUACAAGCGAAACAAUAGAACUGGUCAGGAAACGUUCAGGAUUCAUUUCACAUUUCUAUUGAAUAGCGCGCCCAACUGUUCAAACACAAGUGACAUCUGAACCGUGGUUCGACCAAACGAAGCAUUUGGCGCGUCAUACAUCAUCAACCACGUGAUCUGGGCUAGUUGACACACACCCCGAAACAUUGUGCCGAAACACCGAAACACUGUUUCAUGAAGGUGAAGCGCCGUGUCAAACGGGCCAUCCCUAAUUUUCAACAAGUGAAAUAGUUAAACCACACAAUAUUUGCAAAAUUUUUAAUAUAACAGUUACUAUAUAACUUUUUAAGGAGAGAAAGGACGACAGCAUUCUUAAAGUGCUCAGGGACUUGACCUGACAGCAAGGACGAGUUAAUUAUUGACAGGACACAGGGACCGAUGGACUGGAAGACAUCUUUGAGCAGAGAUGUAGGCAGCACGUCGAGAGAGCAAGAGGAUGACUUCAUUGUAUCAACUAAUCUGACUAGCUCAGGGAGACAAACAGGUGAGAAUGUGUCUAAAAUCACAAGCCGAGGUGAUCAUCCUUGAGGAAUUUCAAAAUAAAAGAGUUACAAUCACUGCUGGAUGAGAAAUACAUUUACUCUUUAUUUUCUGUCAAUAAAUCAUAUUUAUCAAUAAAUCCUUGAUUGUAAAUGAUGGAUCUAAAGUUGAAAAGAAGUCAAAGUGCUGACUCAGCACAGAUCAAAGGAGACACAGAUGAUUUCCUGGAAUGAAGAAAACAUCAAACAUCAUGAUGUGAUCUGGAACUGAGCUGUUCUUCAGAAGAUCCUCCCAAACAUGGAAACUGUUGCUGCAACACGUGAAGCUUUGCUUCUGUUGCUAGGUAGAUCUGAUGGAUCAGAAGCAGACUUCUGUCAGCUGGAACUGGGGCUUCUUCCAGACCAUGACAUGUUGUUCAAUAAAGUUCAUUCCAAAGCGUGACUGAUUCAUGAAGUGGUUCCUUGAGCCGUGAGUUUUGCCAGCAGCAGGAAUCCCUGAGAGUUAGGAGACAGUUUGUGGAGAGAGUUUGUAGAUUUAGGAGAAACCAACGUUUGAAAUGAAACCAAAGUGUCCUAAAGCAAAAUCACUGAGCACAUCUCAAUGUUCCACAAACAGUCAUUUUCCACAGUGGACCGUCACCACACACUUUACAAGACAGUUUCUCACAACUUUAUGACAACAAAUCCUGAAAUUGUUCCAUUCAAGGAAACAUUGACUAAUAUUUGGAUUGAUGCUGUUUUCCAUCUGUGUUUUCAAACCUGCAUCAAGAAUUAGCUCAUGUUUAUUGAUUCACUUUCUGUGGAAGUUUGUACGGUGGCCCUGAAGUGCAAAUGUGACAGACAGGGCUGUGGGUGGUGGUUUGUCCCUCAUGGUGUUCCAUAGUUUAGCAUUCAUGGCCAGCACCUGUCUGUUGAGCUGUGAUUGGCUCACAAGGCUGAUAAAUAGCAGCAGUAGGAGUUCCAUCUAGAUGCUGGUUUCCUGGUUUGGCCUUGGUAGGUGAGCUUGACAUGUGGACCGGUUUUACUAAAGCUUUUAAUCAUUUGAGUCCUUUUACUAAAGUUUUUAGCAUUUGAGUUUGCAACAUUUUAAAAUUCUAUUUAUAUUAACAGGUGGUGGCAUGAGUUCUGACCCUGGGGCAUGAGAGCAGAGUUGCCACUGCUGUUUUGCUUAGUGUUGUUAGUCAUUGUUUUUUUAAUGUUUUAAUCAAGCUUGACACCCUUGCUUUUAUCCAUUUUUAAACUGUUGUGCUCAUUUUUAGUAACUUGGUGUCUGGACCUGGCUGAAGGUGGCUGCCUCCUCCUUUUAUCCUUAUGGUAGCUGGUACUCCUGGUGAGGGUUUGGAUCAGAUCACAUUU